AACAUCACUAUUCCUAAGGUCUUAAUCCCCUAUAGUCUACAUGUGACCCAACGUCUCUGAGCACCUAGCCGUCUAAUCAUGAAACAAACCCGGCUUUGUCUGUGCUUUCUGUGCGUUAAAGUCAACUGUGUUUUGCUUAGAUAAUAAUCCAGUUAUAGGUGCCUGUGUCAUAUGUUUUAAAGCAGAGGAAGUCUGCCAAAUAGUCACUUUUCUCUGGUUAAAAACAUUGUUUUCUUGGCUCUCAGUAGAGCUUUUUUUUGUUUGUUUUUUUUCCUUUAUAAACACCUUACGUUGUUUUUUCUGCUGUCAAGCCCAUGGCAUCCAAAGAUCAGUUUUUGAACAUUCACUGCCGAACACUAGAGUAAAGUCUGAAUCUGUAGUUUAUCAGGGAGAUUAAUGAAGAAAAAACAACUCUUGAGCAAUGUGCUGAACAAUGACAGACAUUUUCCAGGCCUCCACGGCGAUUGCUACUUAUCAAGUAUUUUUCCCAGAAUACCACCUCAUUUUGCAUUAGUAAAUCUCCCCCCUUGUCUACAAAGGUAGAACAACAGCAAACCCUGCUGUCAUCAGGUCUUCUCAAAAACCACAAUGGCUCCCCGUUUACACUCAGAUUUUUUUUGUGGAUUACAUUUCUCAACCUAAAGACAGAUGGCUGUGCAUCAUGGGGAAUUUAUUUCACAAACAUAAAUUGCUGGGAUAAACUCAUUGUUUAUUAUUUCAAACACAGUACUUUCCACUUAUACGUUUAAUUCAUUUUAGCUUUUCACACUUCUGAGAUUGCUAGAAUUAAUACAAUUAUUGGAUAAUAAUAUCUACAACUAGUAAAAGGUAAAUGUAUCCAUCUUACUUGAAUGCCCGGUUUAGACCUCAGUUAGAUAAGGUAGACCUUAGAAUUUUAUAUUUUUUAUUUAGUCUGUAUGUACAGUAUACAAAAAAAUUGUUCAGCUUUCGAGAUGUUGUGUUUACCCUAUAGUUAAAAUAUUUUAACAAAUACAAUUUUUUAUGUUCAAAACAACUUAAGUACUUUAUAGCUAUUAUACCGUAUACUGCAUAAAUACCUCUAAAUUCCCUUUAUCUGACCAUAGAGGCACAGGCCAGUCUAACCUCCCAUCUCAAACAUACACAUCAUUGCACUUAAUACUUCACAUGAAAAAAAUUAUUGCAUAAUAAAAAAACAAAGUGCUCCACCUAGUGGAGAAAAGGUGCAACAGCUGACUUGUCUGUACGGAAAUCCAGCCUAUGCCUAUAGUAUUCAAAAAGCUUUUAUACGCUAUGACAUAUAAUAAACACACUUUCAGCAACUGCAGUGCAGAGGUGAUGUUGUUCAGAAACCCGAAUGCACAUGUUCUUGUAAGAUCAAUUGUAGCAGCAGGCCGUUUUUAAAAUAAUCACUUACUAGUUAUUUAAGGCUGUGCAACGUCACCCCUAUCAGCAGGCACAAGGUAGAGUUUUGAAGAGAUAAAAUGAUUCCUCACUAUUAAUUCUUCCCUUUGUAGCACGCUAUGAAUAUAAGAGUGACUUGAGUAUUUCCAAUAAUGAAAUGGUUAAUUGUUGCUGUGGGAGUUUUCACAAACCACAAAUGCUGAUAUAACUUUGAGCAAAUAAAAGAAAAUGUUCUAGGAAAAAAAUUUUGUGAACUAAUUAUAGAAAAUGUGAGCCAGACUUCAAAUAAAUUCCUGGAAUCUAUUAAUAUAUUGCCUUUUUUCUUUUUUUUACAUAAGCCUUUCACAGUUUAGUUCCAUGUGGUACAUCUUAAAAUGCAUUACGACAUUUGGAUGUUUUUUCUUCAGGAACAGUACACGGAUGUCAAAUAGCAGUCACUGAGUGCCACAGGAGAUGCAAGAUUCCAAAACAAUACGCAGUGUUGCACAGUGAUUGUCAGUGUUAAAGAGGAUUUGCCUUGUUUCUGUUUUUUGAUGUUAAGUAAGAAUCAUGGGCAACUGGAUUACCCAUAAUGCUCAGCCAAACAUCUGGCUACCAUCAUUGAUAUAUAUUGUUGCCCCCCCAGAUGUUUUGAACUACAACUCCCAUGAUUCCCUAGCAAUCAGCCAUAAUUCCCUAGCUAUCUGUUUCAUUUAAAAAAAAAAAAACCUGGGCGUUCUCUGUUUUAUUAAAUGAACCUUGGGCAUUGGCUAUAUGUUUUAUCCAAAGAAUCAUGAGCGUGGGGGUAGCUCAGGUUGUGCAGGCCUGCGUUAGACUUUUCUACUACCCAGUUAGAUAAUCGGACCCCCUAAAGCAAUUAACUGGAGUUAUAUCCUCUGGCAUGCCAGUUUUACCAAAAUUGCUGCUCUUCCACUGGCUAAGUUCAUCAUUACUGAUGAUCUAGCCAAUCCAAUGCUUCCUUUUAAAGAAGCAUUGUGAGGCUAGUGCAAUCGCCAUGACGCACCUAUAAGAAACUUCACAUAGAGAUGCAUCUCUAUGGGUAUUUGGUGUUUCCAUGCAGAUUAUGGAGAUGCCGAACACUGGUCUUGCAAUCUUUGCAGGACUGAAACCUGGUCAGAGUACCAGCAACUUAAAGUGGACACAGAAGGGAAUGUAUACAAUGCCUUUUCUUUUAGAAGGGCAUGGUUUACACAGCAGAGACUGUAGUAUAUUUGACCCUUAACCACUACAUUAAGCUGUAGUAGUUCUGUUGCAUAAAGUGUCCCUAAAUUAG
rnacentral:lncRNA from 1 species